rnacentral:rRNA from 1 species
GGAGGGGGGCGAGCGUUAUUCGGAUUUACUGGGCGUAAAGCGCACGUAGGCGGCUAGGUAUGUCAAAGGGUGAAAGCCCUCGACUCAACCGAGGAACUGCCUUUGAAACUGCUUGGCUUGAGUCCCGGGAGAGGGGAGCGGAAUUCCCAGUGUAGCGGUGAAAUGCGUAGAUACUGGGAGGAACGCCGGUGGCGAAGGCGGCUCCCUGGACCGGCACUGACGCUGAGGUGCGAAAGCGUGAGUAGCAAACAGGAUUAGAUACCCUGGUAGUCCACGCCGUAAACGAUGGGCACUAGGUGCAGCGGGUGUCGACCCCUGCUGUGCCGAAGCUAACGCAUUAAGUGCCCCGCCUGGGGAGUACGGUCGCAAGGCUG